GGCCAGCAUCGGGGCGAGGGGGAACAAAAAAAAGUAAGAAAUGUAACUGGUCUGGUGCGAGUAUUAUAGACUCACUNNUUCUUUCCGACCUNAUCCGGAGGCUGCGGUANUCUAGGAUGCUGGCGUAAU
rnacentral:rRNA from 1 species